rnacentral:rRNA from 1 species
CCGUAGCCCAAGAGAUCGGGAUAACACCUGGAGACAGAUGCUAAUACCGGAUAACAACAGAUGAUGCCUAUCAACUGUUUAAAAGAUGGUUCUGCUAUCACUCUUGGAUGGACCUGCGGUGCAUUAGCUAGUUGGUAGGGUAACGGCCUACCAAGGCGAUGAUGCAUAGCCGAGUUGAGAGACUGAUCGGCCACAUUGGGACUGAGACACGGCCCAAACUCCUACGGGAGGCAGCAGUC